GAUGAACGCUGGCGGCGUGCCUAAUACAUGCAAGUCGAGCGAACGGACGAGAAGCUUGCUUCUCUGAUGUUAGCGGCGGACGGGUGAGUAACACGUGGAUAACCUACCUAUAAGACUGGGAUAACUUCGGGAAACCGGAGCUAAUACCGGAUAAUAUUUUGAACCGCAUGGUUCAAAAGUGAAAGACGGUCUUGCUGUCACUUAUAGAUGGAUCCGCGCUGCAUUAGCUAGUUGGUAAGGUAACGGCUUACCAAGGCAACGAUGCAUAGCCGACCUGAGAGGGUGAUCGGCCACACGGGAACUGAGACACGGUCCAGACUCCUACGGGAGGCAGCAGUAGGAAUCUUCCGCAAUGGGCGAAAGCCUGACGGAGCAACGCCGCGUGAGUGAUGAAGGUCUUCGGAUCGUAAAACUCUGUUAUUAGGGAAGAACAUAUGUGUAAGUAACUGUGCACAUCUUGACGGUACCUAAUCAGAAAGCCACGGCUAACUACGUG
rnacentral:rRNA from 1 species